AUUGAACGCUGGCGGCGGGCCUAACACAUGCAAGUCGAGCGGAUGAAGGGAGCUUGCUCCUGGAUUCAGCGGCGGACGGGUGAGUAAUGCCUAGGAAUCUGCCUGGUAGUGGGGGAUAACGUCCGGAAACGGGCGCUAAUACCGCAUACGUCCUGAGGGAGAAAGUGGGGGAUCUUCGGACCUCACGCUAUCAGAUGAGCCUAGGUCGGAUUAGCUAGUUGGUGGGGUAAAGGCCUACCAAGGCGACGAACCGUAACUGGUCUGAGAGGAUGAUCAGUCACACUGGAACUGAGACACGGUCCAGACUCCUACGGGAGGCAGCAGUGGGGAAUAUUGGACAAUGGGCGAAAGCCUGAUCCAGCCAUGCCGCGUGUGUGAAGAAGGUCUUCGGAUUGUAAAGCACUUUAAGUUGGGAGGAAGGGCAGUAAGUUAAUACCUUGCUGUUUUGACGUUACCAACAGAAUAAGCACCGGCUAACUUCGUG
rnacentral:rRNA from 1 species